rnacentral:rRNA from 1 species
GAUGAACGCUGGCGGCGUGCUUAACACAUGCAAGUCGAACGAUGAAGCCCAGCUUGCUGGGUGGAUUAGUGGCGAACGGGUGAGUAACACGUGAGUAACCUGCCCUUAACUCUGGGAUAAGCCUGGGAAACUGGGUCUAAUACCGGAUAGGAGCGUCCACCGCAUGGUGUGUGUUGGAAAGAUUUAUCGGUUUUGGAUGGACUCGCGGCCUAUCAGCUUGUUGGUGAGGUAAUGGCUCACCAAGGCGACGACGGGUAGCCGGCCUGAGAGGGUGACCGGCCACACUGGGACUGAGACACGGCCCAGACUCCUACGGGAGGCAGCAGUGGGGAAUAUUGCACAAUGGGCGCAAGCCUGAUGCAGCGACGCCGCGUGAGGGAUGACGGCCUUCGGGUUGUAAACCUCUUUCAGUAGGGAAGAAGCGAAAGUGACGGUACCUGCAGAAGAAGCACCGGCUAACUACGUG